rnacentral:rRNA from 1 species
AUGUCACCCAAAUCACAGAUUCGGCCAAACGCCCAAAAGAAACGCUCACACGCACCGACGCACAUGAACACAUCCGAUCUACAAGGGAGCGGCCGUAACGAUCGGCCUUGUUUCCAUGCAUCCGAUCUCGGAAAACUUUGGCAGAUCAACGCGCCGUACCGGCUAGUAUCAUCUUAUUCUAUUACGAGGCAGGAAUCGAAGCUGGCCUGCCAUCCACUGCGGAUCUCGCAAUUUCAUAUUCCCCGGUACUCGCGCGCCGCUGACUUCCUCCGCACCCCGAUCGAUGAAGACGGAAGCGUCGGCGCCCACUAG